UCUGGUGAUGAUGGCGGAGGGGACACACCCGUUCCCAUACCGAACACGGCCGUUAAGCCCUCCAGCGCCAAUGGUACUUGCUCCGCAGGGAGCCGGGAGAGUAGGACGUCGCCAGGC
rfam:Brevibacillus choshinensis strain DSM 8552 scaffold2, whole genome shotgun sequence.